AGCCUAAGAGAUUAGGUGUUCAUCCUUCGGGAUGACAAGGAGACAGGUGGUGCAUGGUUGUCGUCAGCUCGUGUCGUGAGAUGUUGGGUUAAGUCCCGCAACGAGCGCAACCCCUUAUCCCUUUGUUGCCAGCGGUCCGGCCGGGAACUCAAAGGAGACUGCCAGUGAUAAACUGGAGGAAGGUGGGAUGACGUCAAGUCAUCAUGGCCCUUACGACCAGGGCUACACACGUGCUACAAUGGCGCAUACAAAGAGAAGCGACCUCGCGAGAGCAAGCGGACCUCAUAAAGUGCGUCGUAGUCCGGAUUGGAGUCUGCAACUCGACUCCAUGAAGUCGGAAUCGCUAGUAAUCGUGGAUCAGAAUGCCCACGGUCGAAUACGUUCCCGGGCCUU
rnacentral:rRNA from 1 species